rnacentral:rRNA from 1 species
UACGUAGGGUGCAAGCAUUAAUCGGAAUUACUGGGCGUAAAGCGUACGCAGGCGGCUUUGCAAGACAGGUGUGAAAUCCCCGGGCCUAACCUGGGAACUGCAUUUGUGACUGCAUGGCUAGAGUUUGUCAGAGGGGGGUGGAAUUCCACGUGUAGCAGUGAAAUGCGUAGAUAUGUGGAGGAACACCGAUGGCGAAGGCAGCCCCCUGGGAUGUGACUGACGCUCAUGUACGAAAGCGUGGGGAGCAAACAGG